rnacentral:tRNA from 1 species
ACUCCUGUGGCUCAGUUGGUAGAGCAUGGUGUUUGCAACGCCAGCAUGGUGUGUGCAACGCCAGGGUUGUGGGUUCGAUUCCCACGGGGGGCC